GCAUUGAUGGGGUAGUGGUAACCUCGAUCGUUCCCACUAGGAAACUUGAUCGGCCCCGGGUUCGAUUCCCGGUUGAUGCA